UACGUAGGGGCAAGCGUUAUCCGGAAUUACUGGGUGUAAAGGGAGCGUAGACGGUAAUGUAAGUCUGGAGUGAAAGGCGGGGGCCCAACCCCCGGACUGCUCUGGAAACUAUGUUACUAGAGUGCAGGAGAGGUAAGCGGAAUUCCUAGUGUAGCGGUGAAAUGCGUAGAUAUUAGGAGGAACACCAGUGGCGAAGGCGGCUUACUGGACUGUAACUGACGUUGAGGCUCGAAAGCGUGGGGAGCAAACAGG
rnacentral:rRNA from 1 species